GGGCGCGAUCAUACCAAUGUUAAUGCACCGGAUCCCAUCAGAACUCCAUAGUUAGAGCUUGGGCGAGAGUAGUACUUUGCCCAGUGAUGCCCGUUGAAGAGGGGGAGGGGGCGUGAUCC
rfam:Picea glauca, whole genome shotgun sequence.